rnacentral:tRNA from 1 species
GCCGAAGUGGCGGAACUGGCAGACGCGUACGGCUCAGGACCGUAUUCCCGCAAGGGAUUGAGGGUUCAAAUCCCUCCUUCGGCA